rnacentral:rRNA from 1 species
GUGGGGAAUCUUGCGCAAUGGGCGAAAGCCUGACGCAGCCAUGCCGCGUGAAUGAUGAAGGUCUUAGGAUUGUAAAAUUCUUUCACCGGGGACGAUAAUGACGGUACCCGGAGAAGAAGCCCCGGCUAACUUCGUGCCAGCAGCCGCGGUAAUACGAAGGGGGCUAGCGUUGCUCGGAAUUACUGGGCGUAAAGGGCGCGGAGGCGGACAGUUUAGUCAGAGGUGAAAGCCCAGGGCUCAACCUUGGAAUUGCCGUUGAUACUGGCUGUCGUGAGUACGGGAGAGGUGAGUGGAACUCCGAGUGUAGAGGUGAAAUUCGUAGAUAUUCGGAAGAACACCAGUGGCGAAGGCGACUCACUGGCCCGUUACUGACGCUGAGGCGCGAAAGCGUGGGGAGCAAACAGGAUUAGAUACCCCGGUAGUCC